rnacentral:sRNA from 1 species
GGGCCUUAUUAAAUGACUUCUCGUCAACCACCCCUGACUGAAGUCAGAGGCUUGCUUCUGGCCUGAGUUGGGGGCCCGGUUUGGCGGGGCCGGGGGCAACUGGCUGACCAGGCGGCCCGGUUCGCCGGGCAGGGGUCCGCGGGGCUACCAAGGACUUCCGGGUGUUUCGCCAGCCCGGACUAUCUCCGGCAGAACCGCUCAAUGCCGCGGCCGGCCAAGACCGGCCUAAGCCCUGCGGACAGCGCCGAGGCGACAAUCACUCCGAAAGGAGGCCGUGUAUCGGC